AAAAAAAAAAAAAAAGAUGAGUUUCACAAGGAACAUAUUGCUAAGCAGCGACUUCUGGCCUGUGUGAUUCGCGAAUGGAUCGAAAGUAUUUUAUAACUGUGUAAAAAGGGAAACGGCAAAAUGUGCACUAAACGCGACCACCGUGGCUUAUCGUAUAUUCGGCCGCUUUUUGAGAGAUCGGGCUAAACGGCAGUCGCCAAGUAAAAAGUUCCAUUGCAGAGAAAAACAAGGGAAAAAGAGCUAUCUCGCAUCGCCCAUACGAAGAGAAGAAGUACGUUGUAUACAUAGCUACCUAUACCUAAGAAUAACGUAUUGUGACUGGGAUUUUCAGAUUAUUUUUAUUCGCUAUAGAGAGCUUCGAUAUAUAAUACACAUAUAUCGAGUUGAAAACGUUUGCGUUGGUGUAACAAGCGCGAAACGGUGUGACGAGCGACGAACGUCGUUUUUGCACGUCGCGUCCUCCCAUCGCCGGAAUGACGAAACCGUCGACCACUUAUUCUUUAAGUUCGCUAAACAACAUAUCUCGAAAGAGAGGGAGAGAGAGAGAGAAAGAGAGAGCGAGAAGAAAAGAAAGAAAGAAGGGAAGGAAUCGAUGGUAUCGGACGAGCGUGUACGUUCCAAGAUAGAUCGCGCGGCUGUGCGCGAUUAUUUUGGGGGCGCGUGAAACGGUAUCGCUCGUCGAGAGGAUAAAUGGGAAAAAAGGUAUCGAAUUAAUAACAUACAUAUACAAAUAUCUCUACGACAAGUACUAUAUACUAAACACGUGUAAAGUUAAGAGUUAAUAAAAUCAUUUUAGGGUACUCUGCGCCCUAGGGUUGAUCCUUACGCUUAUUCUCCGUGUCGUUCACGUCUCUCACCGUCGUCUACGAAACUCGCAAGCGAGCCACGAGUUCGUAUACAUGAUUUCGCAUCGAACGUUUGCGCAAGCAAAUUAUAGUCACGCGAUUGGUACUUAAUUCCGUCGAAUCACGCGUUGAUAUUACGCAUGAGUUUGCCUGCUAUUCGAUAUUAUUCUUCCCAACAUUUUUCGAGACGCAUUUUUCCCGGCAAUAUUUCUUUUUGCGACAAUCGCCGAGUGACAUGUGUCUUAUGUACUCUUACAUUUCAUAUUUACAGUUGCGGCGUUCUCACAUUUGACAUCUCUCGAGAAAUCUCGUUAGAGCUUAUGUGAUAUUCAUCCGAUUAAAAGGAGCUCACACACGCGCACCCGAGUGACGCCGUGUUCUGCAGAUUAUAUCGCGUGGGACGUUAAACGUGACGUAACCAAAUACUCCAAUUCUUCUGUUAUGUAAGAUUUUCAAGACCGCGCGAUGCACAAUACGAUUUUCCAUUCGUCCCACGGCGAGGCAAUCGUAAGGAGAGAUAACAGCAACAAAUCUGGGAUUCCAAACGACAUUUUGAUCAUUCUCUCGAUAAAUAACAAUCGUCCCACUAUAUAUGUUUCCGUGUGAAAAACUAGAAUCGCGUCUCGUGACGAUCCCUUGCGUCUGACCGGAAGAAGUUAUUCACGAUGCAGCGCGAUUCAAGGAUUGAUCGCAGCGAGAAGAUAAACGAAUGCUGCCUCGUGGAUGCAUCUCGACGUUGCGAGAUGAAAAGAGACUUAUUAGCGUCUCAGCGCGGGAUUUGGCGGAAUAUUUAAUAUUUAUUGCAACAGAUUCUCUUUUAUCACCGUAAAGACGAAAUUAUGACGCUGCGGCAUGUAACACGUUUUGUGACGUAUUUGAUCGCCCAGGUGGUGUUAUCUCGGCCGGCGAGGGACAGGCACGUGCUUCUGCGACGAUUUGAUCACUCAUUACGAAACAUAGAGAUGGAUGCUUCUCGUUUUCGUUUGGUGAAAGCUAUCUUAUCUUAACGUUUGUUUAGCAACCAUUAGCUAAACGCUUACUCAGUAUUGUCAACCGUUGAACCAA